rnacentral:rRNA from 1 species
UGGGGAAUAUUGCACAAUGGAGGGAACUCUGAUGCAGCGACGCCGCGUGAGUGAUGAAGGAAUUCGUUUCGUAAAACUCUGUUCUAUGGGAAGAAAAGGACUGUACCAUAGGAGAAAGCUCCGGCUAAAUACGUGCCAGCAGCCGCGGUAAUACGUAUGGAGCGAGCGUUGUCCGGAAUUAUUGGGCGUAAAGGGUGCGCAGGCGGCUUUACAAGUUGGAUGUGAAAUAUUGUGGCUCAACCACAAACGUGCAUCCAAAACUGCAUAUCUUGAGAAGAGUAGAGGUAAGUGGAAUUUUUAGUGUAGCGGUGAAAUGCGUAGAUAUUAAAAAGAAUACCGGUGGCGAAGGCGACUUACUGGGCUCAUUCUGACGCUGAGGAACGAAAGCGUGGGUAGCAAACAGG